rnacentral:rRNA from 1 species
GUCCACGCCGUAAACGAUGUCAACUAGGUGUUGGGAUGGUUAAUCGUCUCAUUGCCGCAGCUAACGCAUUAAGUUGACCGCCUGGGGAGUACGGUCGCAAGAUUAAAACUCAAAGGAAUUGACGGUGGCCCCGCACAAGCGGUGGAGUAUGUGGUUUAAUUCGACGCAACGCGCAGAACCUUACCUGGUCUUGACAUCCCGGGAAUCUUGUGGAAACACGAGAGUGCCUCGCAAGAGGAGCCUGGUGACAGGUGCUGCAUGGCUGUCGU